rnacentral:rRNA from 1 species
AUACGUAGGUGGCAAGCGUUGUCCGGAAUUAUUGGGCGUAAAGCGCAUGUAGGCGGUGCCUUAAGUCUGUCGUGAAACUGCGGGGCUCAGCCCCGUAUGGCGAUGGAAACUGGGUUACUUGAGUGCAGGAGAGGAAAGGGGAACUCCCAGUGUAGCGGUGAAAUGCGUAGAUAUUGGGAAGAACACCGGUGGCGAAGGCGCCUUUCUGGACUGUGUCUGACGCUGAGAUGCGAAAGCCAGGGUAGCGAACGGGAUUAGAUACCCCGGUAGUCCUGGCCGUAAACGAUGGGUACUAGGUGUGGGAGGUAUCGACCCCUUCCGUGCCGGAGUUAACGCAAUAAGUACCCCGCCUGGGGAGUACGGCCGCAAGGCUUAAACUCAAAGGAAUUGACGGGG